rnacentral:rRNA from 2 species
UACAUGCAAGUCGAGCGGACUAAUGGGAGCUUGCUCCCGUUAGUUAGCGGCGGACGGGUGAGUAACACGUGGGCAACCUACCUGUAAGACUGGGAUAACUUCGGGAAACCGGAGCUAAUACCGGAUGACAUAAAGGAACUCCUGUUCCUUUAUUGAAAGAUGGCUUCGGCUAUCACUUACAGAUGGGCCCGCGGCGCAUUAGCUAGUUGGUGAGGUAACGGCUCACCAAGGCGACGAUGCGUAGCCGACCUGAGAGGGUGAUCGGCCACACUGGGACUGAGACACGGCCCAGACUCCUACGGGAGGCAGCAGUAGGGAAUCUUCCGCAAUGGACGAAAGUCUGACGGAGCAACGCCGCGUGAGCGAUGAAGGCCUUCGGGUCGUAAAGCUCUGUUGUUAGGGAAGAAUAAGUGCUAGUUGAAUAAGCUGGCACCUUGACGGUACCUAACCAGAAAGCCACGGCUAACUACGUGCCAGCAGCCGCGGUAAUACGUAGGUGGCAAGCGUUGUCCGGAAUUAUUGGGCGUAAAGCGCGCGCAGGCGGUUUCUUAAGUCUGAUGUGAAAGCCCCCGGCUCAACCGGGGAGGGUCAUUGGAAACUGGGAAACUUGAGUGCAGAAGAGGAAAGUGGAAUUCCAAGUGUAGCGGUGAAAUGCGUAGAGAUUUGGAGGAACACCAGUGGCGAAGGCGACUUUCUGGUCUGUAACUGACGCUGAGGCGCGAAAGCGUGGGGAGCAAACAGGAUUAGAUACCCUGGUAGUCCACGCUGUAAACGAUGAGUGCUAAGUGUUAGAGGGUUUCCGCCCUUUAGUGCUGAAGUUAACGCAUUAAGCACUCCGCCUGGGGAGUACGGUCGCAAGACUGAAACUCAAAGGAAUUGACGGGGGCCCGCACAAGUGGUGGAGCAUGUGGUUUAAUUCGAAGCAACGCGAAGAACCUUACCAGGUCUUGACAUCCUCUGACAACCCUAGAGAUAGGGCUUUCCCUUCGGGGACAGAGUGACAGGUGGUGCAUGGUUGUCGUCAGCUCGUGUCGUGAGAUGUUGGGUUAAGUCCCGCAACGAGCGCAACCCUUGAUCUUAGUUGCCAGCAUUUAGUUGGGCACUCUAAGGUGACUGCCGGUGACAAACCGGAGGAAGGUGGGGAUGACGUCAAAUCAUCAUGCCCCUUAUGACCUGGGCUACACACGUGCUACAAUGGAUAGUACAAAGGGUUGCAAGACCGCGAGGUGGAGCUAAUC